rnacentral:rRNA from 1 species
UGAACGCUGGCGGCGUGCCUAAUACAUGCAAGUCGAGCGAACAGACGAGGAGCUUGCCCCUCUGCCGUUAGCGGCGGACGGGUGAGUAACACGUGGAUAACCUACCUAUAAGACUGGGAUAACUUCGGGAAACCGGAGCUAAUACCGGAUAAUAUAUUGAACCGCAUGGUUCAAUAGUGAAAGACGGUUUUGCUGUCACUUAUAGAUGGAUCCGCGCCGCAUUAGCUAGUUGGUAAGGUAACGGCUUACCAAGGCAACGAUGCGUAGCCGACCUGAGAGGGUGAUCGGCCACACUGGAACUGAGACACGGUCCAGACUCCUACGGGAGGCAGCAGUAGGGAAUCUUCCGCAAUGGGCGAAAGCCUGACGGAGCAACGCCGCGUGAGUGAUGAAGGUCUUCGGAUCGUAAAACUCUGUUAUUAGGGAAGAACAAAUGUGUAAGUAACUAUGCACGUCUUGACGGUACCUAAUCAGAAAGCCACGGCUAACUACGUG